CCAACGCUAACAACGACGACCUUACAAAUAUAAACAACGAGGAGCCUUCUUUUCCUCCUCACUCAAGUUUGGUUGUGCUGCAUUAGAGAAACCACACAACCACAUCCCAGCACGUCUCCACCAUGCAGGUGUGUCUUCACCUGACUCUGCAUUGCUGGGCUCAGAGCUUGCUGGGCUGGACCCUCUGGCCCAGGGGUCUUCCAGCUCUACACGUUCCUCCUUGCUGUGCCUUGUCCACCAGGACACACAAGGUUGACGUACCUACUGGCAUGAGCUCCACGACUAACUUUGGGUAUGCAAUGUUGGAACAGCCCACACUGACCCCACAGACCUUCAGGCAUUCAUCAGGAUCCACACAUCCUAUCUCAUCUACAAAAAACACAAUCGAAUCAUUUAUCACAGAGAUUUCGCAAACAUUGCAUUUAUUGCAGGACCCGAUCAAAUGAAAUUAUUUUAUGUAAUUUUAAUGUAAAGUAUAUAUUACGGUGCAAAAGUCUUAGGCCACCACCACCAGACUUCUUGCUUUUGAAGUUUUAAUGUCCAUCCAUAUUUAUUUUUCAAUCUAUUUUAUUAAGAUACAGAAAAUACAGGAAAUGUGUACAACUAAAUGUCUUCUUUAGGCAUCGUCUGUGUUUAUUGUGACCUCUCUUGGCACUAAACACAUCCUAAGCAUUUUAAAGCAGAAUUAAAUUAAAAGACUAAUUUCUUUAAAAUUACAAAUUAGGAUUUAAUUUUAUUUACGUUUAAGAGAUCCUGGAUUUCCUGCUAUUGCUCAAGUGGAAGGAUGAGUUUACACUAAAAACUUGACACAUCAGUUUACAUUUUUAUACAGUUUUUAAUACUUUAUACACAUUUUCUGAAUUUUCUGGAUGUAUUCUAUUAUAGAGACUGAGAAACAAUUAUAUAUGAUCACUAUAACAUCAUAUAUACAAAACCAACAAAUCUAAUUCUGGCAUGAGGCCUAAGACUUUUGCACAAUAGCCUACUGUAUGUAAAUUUAUACAACUAAUAUGCACUCUCAGAAAAUAAAGUACAAAAGUUUUGUCACUGGGACGGUACCUUUAAAAAGGAUCCUAAUACAGUAUGUACCAUUUAGGUACAGAUAUGUACCUUUUAGGUACCAGUGUGUACCUUAUAGGUGCCAAUAUGUACCUUUUAGGUACAAAAGUGUACUUUUUUUGAAAAGGUACCACCCCAGUGACAACUUUUGUACCUUCAUGUACCCUUUUUUCUAAGAGUGUAGUUAUGUAUUAACUUUCUCUUGACUUUUCACUUAAUUUUCUCUUUCUUUAUAAUAAAU